GCCUCCUUAGCUCAGUUGGUAGAGCAGUGGACUCUUAAUCCAUGGGUCACAGGUUCGAGCCCUGUAGGGGGCAUCA
rnacentral:tRNA from 26 species